AGUUCCUGUGUGAACAAGAAGGAGCGGCUCCUGGGGUUUGUAGCUAAUGCCUUAGGUAACCCGAGCCGAGCGGGCAGCAGGAAGGGCCGAGCCUCUUCUGUUAACCAAUUAGCUCCUCGUCUUGUCCCUCCAGGCACUGCCGUUUAGAGCAUCUCGGAAUCUCCUCCUUAUCGCUCUCAAGCCCCCCAGGCACCUGAGUGGGUAGGACCAGCUGUUUGCGGGGCUCUCUUCUCCUGCGCCCCACUCCCGGCCCUGGCGAUGCAGGACAAGGCAAAUGUCUCAGAGUGUGGGGGACCAAGCCCCGCACCCAGAGAAGAGGAGGGUCCUUUGGAAGAGUGUGGAAAGAAUUCAACCCACACACCGAAGUUCGAGUCCAAAGGAGAGUUUAUUGGAGAAGGGGUCACACUCCACAGAGCGUGCACUCCUCUCGGAGGCAGAGGGACGGGGACCGAGGGAGACGUGGGAAGGCAGUGAGAGGGACCCCGAGUGCUCGGGGACCCCAGUUCACACAUCGUCCUUUCGUUCCUGAGUUACAGUUUACAGACUCUGCUUCCCCGUUUCCUUCGCUGUGGACACGCGGUGAGGAAGGGAGCGAGGAUGUGGGUGGAAAGAACCUCAGAGGGGGUCCGCGGUCACCCGAGCCCCCCCUCCCCCCGUGUGGCCCACCCUGGCCCAUUCCCUGGUUUUCUGGUUUCUCCCCGAGGAGCAGAAUGUGCACGUGGGCUGGAGGAGAUCGGCCUGAGCUUCCAGAGCAGGCAGCUGAUAACGCUUAAGGCCAGAUCCUGGUGUCUCCUGAACAAGCCAGCAGAUCACAGAAGCGGAAGUUGGCUGUUAGCAUAUCUUUGCCUGGAACAACACUCUUAAUUAACAAGUAAAUGGAUCACAGAAGCAGACAUUGGCCAUCU